CUCGAAAUCUAUCGCGGGUGGAUUCAGUCAGGAGUCUGAGAACCUCUACGAUAGUGACCCUUUUACCAUUGGUAAUGAGGGAACUUGAAUAAGAGGCCCGACUCUGAGGUGCCUGACGCAUUUCCAACCCGCUAUAAUUAGACGCCGCAGCCGGUUGGGUAGCUGCGCGUGUCGGCCAUGAGGUAGGGCAGUGGCAGUAGACCGUUUCUCGCUACGAAAGUGGCGUUUGCCGGAUCGUUUAGCCAGCCCUACCGUGGCGCGACACCCGACCGAGGAGAAAGAGGUCAGAGAUGGCCUCGCCGUCCCUUCUUGAUUCUGUAUAACACUAUAUUAAAAAAAGAGCGGACCGGCGGACAGGCGAGUUGCUGCGCUAUACUGCUCUAGUCACCGAACUGGGUAGUGCGUGGUAGCCGUUGGUGGUCCGCGUCGGUUAAACCGCAAUGGGAAAUCUCGAAUUAAAAAAGAUGGCUUGUGGCGAGUAGGUCGGUCACCCACCCGACCCGUCUUGAAACACGGACCAAGGAGUCUAACAUGUGCGCAAGUCAUGGGGUCUUGUUUAGGCCCAGAGGCGUAAUGAAAGUGAGACAUUGCUUCUUCUUAGAGGAAUUUAAAAAGUUGGGAUUUCCCGAGGAGUUGGAAGCCCGGGAAAGCACCAACGACCCGCCCUAGUGCUAUGAUUUAAUUAUAAAGUGUGGACGGCGUUAGAGCGCACACGUUGGGACCCGAAAGAUGGUGAACUAUGCCUGGGCAGGACGAAGCCAGAGGAAACUCUGGUGGAGGUCCGCAGCGGUU
rnacentral:rRNA from 1 species